UGGGGAAUUUUGGACAAUGGGCGAAAGCCUGAUCCAGCAAUGCCGCGUGUGUGAAGAAGGCCUUCGGGUUGUAAAGCACUUUUGUCCGGAAAGAAAUCCUUGGCUCUAAUACAGUCGGGGGAUGACGGUACCGGAAGAAUAAGCACCGGCUAACUACGUGCCAGCAGCCGCGGUAAUACGUAGGGUGCAAGCGUUAAUCGGAAUUACUGGGCGUAAAGCGUGCGCAGGCGGUUUGCUAAGACCGAUGUGAAAUCCCCGGGCUCAACCUGGGAACUGCAUUGGUGACUGGCAGGCUAGAGUAUGGCAGAGGGGGGUAGAAUUCCACGUGUAGCAGUGAAAUGCGUAGAGAUGUGGAGGAAUACCGAUGGCGAAGGCAGCCCCCUGGGCCAAUACUGACGCUCAUGCACGAAAGCGUGGGGAGCAAACAGGAUUAGAUACCCUGGUAGUCCACGCCCUAAACGAUGUCAACUAGUUGUCGGGUCUUCAUUGACUUGGUAACGUAGCUAACGCGUGAAGUUGACCGCCUGGGGAGUACGGUCGCAAGAUUAAAAGGGCUCAAAUGAAUUGACGGGGUCAUAGCUGUUUCCU
rnacentral:rRNA from 1 species